GAUGAAGAACGUAGCGAAAUGCGAUACGUAAUGUGAAUUGCAGAAUUCAGUGAAUCAUCGAAUCUUUGAACGCAUAUUGCGCUCUCUGGUAUUCCGGAGAGCAUGCUUGUUUGAGUAUCAGUAAACACCUCAACUUCCAUAUCUUUUUUGAAAUGGGAGUUGGACUUGAGUGAUCCCAACGCUUUUCCUCACCGAAAAGUGGCGGGUUACUUGAAAUGCAGGUGCAGCUGGACUUUUCUCUGAGCUAUAAGCAUAUCUAUUUAGUCUGCCUAAAAAACAGAUUAUUACCUUUGCUGCAGCUAACAUAAAGGAGAUUAGUUCUUGUGCUGACUGAUGCAGAAUUCACAAAGACAGGCUUCGGCCGACUUUGUAAACUCGAUCUCAAAUCAAGUAAGACUACCCGCUGAACUUAAGCAUAUCAAUAAGCGGAGGA
rnacentral:misc_RNA from 1 species